rnacentral:rRNA from 1 species
CCUACGGGUGGCAGCAGUGGGGAAUAUUGGGCAAUGGACGCAAGUCUGACCCAGCAACGUCGCGUGAAGGAUGACGGCUUUAGGGUUGUUAAACUCUUUUAAGGGGGAAGUGAAGAAGACGGUACCUCUUGAAUAAGCCACGGCUAACUACGUGACAGCAGCCGCGGUAAUACGUAGGUGGCACGCGUUGUCCGGAUUUACUGGGUGUAAAGGGCGUGCAGCCGGAGAGACAAGUCAGAUGUGAAAUCCACGGGCUCAACCCGUGAACUGCAGUUGAAACUGGUUCCCUUGAGUGUCGGAGAGGUAAUCGGAAUUCGUGGUGUAGCGGUGAAAUGCGUAGAUAUAAGGAAGAACACCAGUGGCGAAGGCGGAUUACUGGACGAUAACUGACGGUGAGGCGCGAAAGCGUGGGGAGCAAACAGGAUUAGAUACCCCUGUAGUC